GACGAACGCUGGCGGCGUGCUUAACACAUGCAAGUCGAACGGAAAGGCCCUGCUUUUGUGGGGUGCUCGAGUGGCGAACGGGUGAGUAACACGUGAGUAACCUGCCCUUGACUUUGGGAUAACUUCAGGAAACUGGGGCUAAUACCGGAUAGGAGCUCCUGCUGCAUGGUGGGGGUUGGAAAGUUUCGGCGGUUGGGGAUGGACUCGCGGCUUAUCAGCUUGUUGGUGGGGUAGUGGCUUACCAAGGCUUUGACGGGUAGCCGGCCUGAGAGGGUGACCGGGCGUAUAGUGACCUGGCUACGGGAGUGCCUCAGGAGGGGGGAGGGGGGGGGGAAGAGCGCAAUAUGGGGGGAGGCUGGAGGGCGAACGGCGGGGUGGGGGAUGCCGGGCUGCGUGUUACCACCCUCUUUGUAGGGGGACGGGGGGUGAGGGACGGUAGGAGGAAAGGAAGACCCGGCUAACUACGUGGCGCCAGCGGGUGUAAUGAUGGGAGGGCCAGCGUCUGACC
rnacentral:rRNA from 1 species